UUCUUCGUUUCAUUUUUUUUCCUCCGCAGUCUAUUGGGUCUGACUCCUUAUUUUGUCCGAACGUUUGGCAUUAUUGAGCCCUUACCGAUAUAGAGCGUGGUAUAGUUUAUUCGAAACGCUGUGUGUCUUUUAUUUUUCUCCCGACUUUAGGGUUUCCAUCGAUUCACUCAUCUUCUUCCUCCUGACCCUGCAAGCAAUCGGCGCCGCAGCGAAUCUAGGAUUUCCAGCGAUCUAUUCAUCUUCUUCCUACUGAUCCAGUGGUCAAUCGGUUACGGAUCCACUACUAUUAAAUUCCUUAUUAAAUCAACCGUACACGAUCUCUCUUCAAUGCCACUUUUGCUCUUCAAAGGCGGUUGAGGUUUGACUAUAAAAGUCCGAAAGAUGUUCUUCCACAGUUGAGGUUAGGUUAUUGUGUUUCUAGGAGGCGAGGAAUAUCAGGCGCUGGGAUGAACUGAUGUAUGUCGGUAUGCUCUUGCUUGAUUCGAAUGGAUGUGUAUGUGACUUUUAGUUUGAGUGCGUGGUGAUCCAAGGGUUGUUAUUGCGACAAGCUUAAAUCCCUAAAAUAUUCGGAGGUAUUUAGUUAUUAUUUAAAUUUAAAGAAUGUCUUAUCUGUUUCUAACAAGAGCUCCGGUGUUUGUUAGUACCUUUGUCGAACUUUUUCAUGCAGGCCGUUUGAUCCUUAAUGCAACUUCAGGAACACACAUUUAUUUCGAUAAGGAGACUAAUGUUAGGAGAGGUCCUCUUCUACAAACACUGGGCUUCAGUCAGUAGCUCCGCUUCUGAAAGGAUAUGCCACGGUUGAGAAUCUGACCAUAUCCGAGCUUAAUGAGUUUGUCAUAGCUGCACUGUCUCAGGCAUUGAGCAAAGGGUCUUUAAUGGCUUCCCGGAUUAACAGACUCGGCCUUCUGGUCGUUGAAGGAGAUAUCGACUGUGACGUUUGAUGGAAGCUUUUCUGCAAAACUUUGAGGAAAUCACGCCUGAGACUUUGUUCUGUGAUAAUGCAAGCUUCGCCCUCCUAGACCCCGAGGAAAAGAGCCGUUCAGAAGAUUUGAAGAAAGAUCAAGAACUUGUACUGCUUCAAAACAUCACCUGAAAAGGAGUUCUUUGCCAAGAAGGUGUUUGUUGGGGACUACCAAUCUUGUGACUGUUAAUAUGUCUUG